UGCUCCGGGGCAGCGGCGGCCGCGGUGCCGUGCGGGGCCAUGGCGGCCCCGGACAGCUGCGUGAAGGUGGCCGUGAGGAUCCGCCCUCAGCUGCCCAAAGAGAAGAUAGAGGGAUGUCACAUCUGUACCUCAGUGACACCUGGCGAGCCCCAGGUGCUGCUGGGCAAGGACAAGGCCUUCACCUAUGACUUUGUCUUUGACCUGGACACGUGGCAGGAGAGGAUCUACACCACGUGCAUGGGGAAGCUCAUCGAGGGCUGCUUCGAGGGCUACAAUGCCACUGUGCUGGCCUACGGGCAGACUGGAGCAGGGAAGACCUACACCAUGGGCACUGGCUUUGACAUGAACAUCUCCGAGGAGGAGCAGGGCAUCAUCCCGCGGGCCAUCAGCCACCUCUUCAGCGGCAUCGAGGAGCGGCGGCGCGCGGCGCAGAGCCAGGGCCUGGCAGCGCCCGAGUUCAAAGUCAGCGCCCAGUUCCUGGAGCUGUACAACGAGGAGAUCCUGGACCUGUUUGACAGCACCCGCGACCCCGACUCGCGCCACCGCAAAUCCAACAUCAAAAUCCACGAGGAUGCCAGCGGGAGCAUCUACACCACGGGGGUCACCUCACGCCUCAUCAGCUCCCAGGAUGAGCUGAUCCAGUGCCUAAAGCAAGGAGCUUUGUCCCGCACCACGGCCAGCACCCAGAUGAACGUGCAGAGCUCCAGAUCCCAUGCCAUCUUCACUAUUUACCUGUGCCAGACGAGAGUGUGUGCCCGCCCAGAGCUGGUGAAUGAGGAGGUGAGCAGCCUUCUGGAUGGAUCCCAACCUGCUGCUGAAUAUGAGACCUUGACAGCCAAGUUUCACUUUGUGGACCUGGCUGGCUCGGAGAGGCUGAAGCGGACGGGUGCCACGGGCGAGAGAGCCAAGGAGGGCAUCUCCAUCAACUGUGGGCUGCUGGCCUUGGGGAAUGUCAUCAGUGCCCUUGGAGACCAGAGCAAGAAGGUUGUGCACGUGCCCUACCGCGACUCCAAGCUCACCCGCCUGCUGCAGGAUUCCCUCGGGGGCAACAGCCAAACCAUCAUGAUUGCCUGCGUGAGCCCCUCCGACCGGGAUUUCAUGGAGACCCUGAACACGCUCAAGUACGCCAACCGUGCUCGCAACAUCAAGAACAAGGUGGUGGUGAACCAGGACAAGACGAGCCAGCAGAUCAGCGCCCUGCGUGCCGAGAUCGCCCGGCUGCAGAUGGAGCUCAUGGAGUACAAGGCAGGCAAGCGUGUGAUCGGGGAGGAUGGCACGGAGGGCUACAGCGACCUGUUCCGGGAGAACGCCAUGCUGCAGAAGGAGAACAGCGCGCUGCGCAUGCGCGUCAAGGCCAUGCAGGAGGCCAUCGACGCCAUCAACAGCAGGGUCACCUACCUCAUGAGCCAGGAGGCCAACAUGAUGCUGGCCAAAGCAGGUGACGGCAACGAAGCCAUCGGCACCCUGAUCCAGAACUACAUCCGGGAGAUUGAGGAGCUGAGGACGAAGCUGCUGGAGAGCGAGUCCAUGAACGAGUCCCUGCGGCGCAGCCUCUCGCGGGUCUCUGCACGGGGCCCGUUCCCUGUGGGCUCCUCACCGGGCCCGGGCCUGGCUGGGAUCUGCAGCCCCGCAGCCACCCUGGACACCGAGGCCUCCGACGUGCUCCGACGGGCCAAGCAGGACCUGGAGCGCCUCAAGAAGAAGGAGCGGCGGCAGCAGAGGAAGAGCCCAGAGAAGGAGGCGUUUAAGAAGAGGCAGAAACUGCAGCAGGACAAUGGGGAGGAGACGGAUGAGAACGAGGUGGAAGAGGAGGAGGAAGAACAGGAUGAGAGUGGCUGUGAGGAAGAGGAUGGGCGCGAGGAUGAAGAUGAGGACUCAGCCAGUGAAGAGAGCCUGGUGGACUCGGACUCGGAUGCAGAGGAGAAGGCUGUGAAUUUCCAGGCCGACCUGGCAGAUCUGACCUGUGAGAUUGAGAUCAAGCAGAAGCUGAUUGAUGAGCUGGAGAACAGCCAGCGGCGGCUGCAGACCCUCAAGCACCAGUAUGAGGAGAAGCUGAUCUUGCUGCAGAACAAGAUUCGGGACACGCAGCUGGAGCGGGACCGGGUCCUGCAGAACCUCAGCACCAUGGAGUGCUACACCGAGGAGAAAGCCAACAAGAUCAAGGCAGACUACGAGAAGCGACUGAAGGAGAUGAACAGGGACCUACAGAAGCUGCAGGCAGCCCAGAAGGAGCACGCUCGCCUGCUCAAGAACCAGAGCCGCUACGAGCGGGAGCUGCGCAAGCUGCAGGCGGAGGUGGCCGAGAUGAAGAAGGCAAAGGUGGCGCUGAUGAAGCAGAUGCGGGAGGAGCAGCAGCGGCGCCGCCUGGCCGAGACCAAGAGGAACCGGGAGAUCGCGCAGCUCAAGAAGGAGCAGCGCCGGCAGGAGUUCCAGAUCAGGGCUCUGGAAUCUCAGAAGCGACAGCAGGAAAUUGUGCUGCGGAGGAAAACGCAGGAGGUGUCAGCGCUGCGCCGUCUGGCCAAGCCCAUGUCCGACAGGGUGGCGGGCAGGACGGGCCCCAAGCCCCCCAUGCUGGACUCGGGGGCCGAGGUCUCGGCCAGCACCACCUCCUCCGAGCCCGAGAGCGGCGCUCGCUCCGUCUCCAGCAUCGUGCGCCAGUGGAACAGGAAAAUCAACAACUUCCUGGGAGACUCCUCGGCCUCCAUCAACGGGGCUCGGCCUGCCAGGAAGAAGUUCCCCAAGAAGGGGUCGAGCCAGACCUUCAGCAAAGCUGCCCGCCUCAAGUGGCAGUCGCUGGAGCGGCGCAUCUUCGACAUUGUCAUGCAGAGAAUGACCAUUGUCAACCUCGAGGCAGACAUGGAGAGGCUCAUCAAGAAACGUGAGGAGCUGUCGCUGCUGCAGGAGGCAUUGCUGGGCAAGCGGGCAAAGCUGCAGGCAGAGAGCCCCAAGGAGCAGAAGGGUCUACAAGAGCUGAACGAGGAGAUUGAGGUGCUGGGGGCCAACAUUGACUACAUCAACGACAGCAUUUCAGACUGCCAGGCCACCAUCAUGCAGAUUGAGGAGACUAAGGAGGAGCUGGACUCCACGGACACCUCGGUGGUGAUCAGCUCCUGCUCCCUGGCCGAAGCCCGGCUGCUGCUGGACAACUUCCUGAAAGCCUCCAUUGACAAGGGGCUGCAGGUGGCCCAGAAGGAGGCGCAGAUCCGGCUGCUGGAGGGGCGCCUGCGGCAGACAGACGUGGCCAACUCCUCGCAGAACCACGCCCUGCUGGAUGCCCUGAGGGAGAAGGCUGAGUCCCACCCCGAGCUGCAGGCGCUGAUCCACAACGUCCAGCAAGAGAAUGGGUACACCAGCACAGAUGAGGAAGUUUCAGAGUUCAGCCUGGCCUCAGAUGGGAGCAUCUCCCAGUCUUUCACCAUGAAGGGCUCAGCAAGCCAGGAUGACUUCAAGUUCAAGGGGGAGCCCAAGCUUUCGGGGCAGAUGAAGGCAGUGUCAGCUGAGUGUCUGGGACCCACGCUGGACGUGUCCACCAAGAACAUCACCAAGUCCUUGGCGUCCCUCAUGGAGAUCAAGGAGGACGGGAUCGGCUUCUCCAUCCGGGACCCCUAUUACAAGGAGAAGGUGUCACGGACCAUCAGCCUGCCCACCCGGGGCAGCACCUUUCCCAGGCAGUCCCGGGGCUCGGACACCUCGCCCCUGACCCGGCGGAAAUCCUACGACCGUGGGCAGCCUGCCAGGCCUGCAGACAUCGGCUUCACACCGCCCUCCUCCCCACCCACCCGUCCGCGCAACGACCGCAACGUCUUCUCCCGUCUCACGAGCACCCAGAGCCAGGGAUCUGCCUUGGACAAGUCUGAUGACAGCGAUUCCUCUGUCUCGGAGGUGCUGAGGGGCAUCAUCAACCCGGUGGGUGGCACCAAGAAUGCCCGGACAGCCCCUCUGCAGUGUGUCUCAGUGGCAGAGGGACACACCAAGCCUGUGCUCUGCCUGGAUGCCACCGAUGAGCUGCUCUUCACGGGCUCCAAAGACCGCAGCUGCAAGAUGUGGAACCUGGUGACAGGCCAGGAAAUCGCCUCUCUCAAGGGCCACCCCAACAAUGUGGUGUCCAUCAAGUACUGCAGCCACACGGGGCUGGUGUUCACCGUGUCCACGUCCUACAUCAAGGUGUGGGACAUCCGCGACUCCGCGCGCUGCGUCCGCACCCUCACGUCGUCGGGCCAGGUGAUCUCUGGGGACGCGUGUGCCGGGACCAGCAGCCGCACGGUCACCAGCGUGCAGGGCGAGCACCAGAUCAACCAGAUCGCGCUCAACCCCGCGGGCACCGCGCUCUACGCGGCCGCCGGCAACGCCGUGCGCGUCUGGGAGCUCAGCAGGCUGCAGCCCGUGGGGAAGCUGAGCGGCCACAUCGGGCCCGUGAUGUGCCUGACAGUGAGCCAGACCCCGAGCAACCACGACCUGGUGGUCACAGGCUCCAAGGAUCACUAUGUCAAGGUGUUUGAGAUCACGGAGGGCAUGGUGGGCAAUAUCAGCCCCACGCACAACUUCGAGCCCCCUCACUAUGAUGGCAUCGAGUGCCUGGCCAUCCAGGGAGAUGUCCUCUUCAGUGGCUCCAGGGACAAUGGCAUAAAGAAGUGGGAUCUGGAGCAGCAGGAACUUAUCCAGCAAAUCCCCAAUGCCCACAAGGACUGGGUGUGUGCCCUGGCCUUCAUCCCCGGGCGCCCCAUGGUGCUGAGCGCCUGCCGAGGAGGCGUCAUCAAGGUGUGGAACGUGGACAACUUCACCCCAGUGGGGGAGAUCAAGGGCCAUGACAGCCCCAUCAAUGCCAUCUGCACCAACUCCAAGCACAUCUUCACUGCCUCCAGUGACUGCCGGGUAAAGUUAUGGAAUUACGUGCCUGGGCUCACCCCUUGCCUUCCUCGACGCGUCCUUGCCAUAAAGGGCCGUGCUACUAGUCUGCCUUGACCCUCCUGCUCUUGACUCUCUUGCUCAUAUGCUCCUCUUCUGUCUCUCCUUCCCUUUUCUCUCCAUCUCUCCCCUCUCUCUGUCCCUCUCACUGUUGCUUUUGCUCCUCUCUCUCUUUCCCUCCCCCCCCGUUUUUUCUCUGGUCUGAGCUGCUUCUUCACGCGACUUGACAGUGAAGCUCUGGAGUGGGAGGAGGUUGCCUGCGGGGUCAAACUAGGAACUACACAAAGACUGCAAGGCGUGGGCAGGGUGAGGGGCAGGGCACCUCCCCUGCUCUCAGUGAGGACUCAGCCACCCACAGGAGCUCAGCCCAGCACAGGGGUUUCUUUGUGCCUGACCCAACGGGGUGGACAAUGCUGCAUCUGGUACUGUGGUCAGCUCCUGUGAGGAAGCAGCUCUGUGGGGCAGCAGCAGCUCCACCUGCCCUCCUGCUGAGGUUUCUGAUGGUUCUCCAGUGAACAGGAAAUGUUUCAUCUCUCACCCAUCCUGCUGUAAGGACUUUGGGGGUCAGAGGUCCCUGACUCCUCAGAGACACCCAGCUCCCUCCUGCCGUGGCUCUGCCGGGCUGUGCUGCUCCUGGGCUGGUUCCUGCAGGAGUCUUCUCCACUCCACGAGGACAUUUGGUGUCUGCUGGCCAGGACCACCACACAGAGGAUGCUUCUCUGGAGCCAUUACUUGUGAGACACCUCUGCUGUGGGGACUGCAGAAGGAUUUCCUGGUACUCCCAGCCUUCCCUUUCCUGUGUGGACGUGUCCCCAGUGGUUGGAGGGUGCUCUGAGCUCCUUUGCCAUGUCCCAUCUCAUGAGGCACAGCAAGCCUGGGAUGUUCUCCAUUGGGCAGCUUCCAGACUGACCUGCUGCAGUUCCUUUGACAUUCUCCAAACCCCACUUGUAAACUCAACUGCCCCAUGGCUCUGGGCUCUCCCCCACAUGCCCAGCCUGCUCAGCCCUGCUCUGGACAUUGUGGUCCCAUCAGGGCUUUGUGCUGGGUUCCUGCAGCCAGUUAACCCCCUUGGGACAGAGAAAUGAAGCAAGAAUGGAGGUUACAGGGCAAAAAGGCCGAGGCUGGAUUUGGCACCCCACUGCUGUGGCUCUGCCUGUCCUUCCCUUGGGCUCUGCCCUCACCUCUGCCUGGACUGGAGCUUGCUCAGGCUGGGCCUGCAUGGAUGCAAGGCUGGAGAGGAGCCAGCAAGGCAGGGAGCAACCAGAGUCACUGUGGCAGGGGCAGAGGGGGACAGGGUUGCACACUGACCUUGCACAAGUCCCUGACUCCCCCUGUGCUGGAAGGACAAUCCUGCAGUGGAUGAUCUUGCACAAUCUCAUCUCCUGGAGGGUCUGGGGGCUCCACCCUGGAGUGUUUCCCCAAGGACAUUCUGCAGGCUCUUUCCUCUGUCUCUCCUGUUCAAGAGGGGCUGGUAAGGCCCUGGUCUCACACUGGAGCUCCCCUCCAUCUCUCCUAUGGCCCACUGGACCAUCCCCUGCUCUGUCCUGCCCUGUGGAAUGGCCAAGGAGACCCCAGGAUGGGUGUUCCUGCCUCACACACUCUCCUUUCCCCUUUGUCACAGAAGAAGCAGCACUUGAACUCAAAUUUAAGGAUUUCUCCAUGUGAUCCCACAGCACUGAACUGGGAUCUUGGAGGCCAGGGGCUCCAGGACCUGCCCCAUCAAGCACAGACCAUUUCCCCUCUGCUCUCUCCAACCAUGGUGAUACCUUGAACUGCCCCAGCUCAUCUGCCACCAACCCUUGCUCCAGGCACUCUGGCUGGAGUGAGGGGAUCCCUCUGCAUCUCUGCAUCAUGAAAGACAGGAAUUUCUGUAUUGAUUUGGUGGGGGAAGGGGAGGGUUGCCUUUUUUUUUGGGAAAAUUCCAUCCUGCUGGCUUGCCUUGUUGGAGGGUAAAUGGUACAUGUGUGUGAGUGUGUGUGUCUGUGUGUCUGUCUGUGUGUGUGAGAGUGACCCUGCCAGGACAGUCCCUGCUCCCUGGGAGUGUGGCUGAGCCCUGCACAGCCAGAACUGGUGGCUGUGCUGAGGAGAGGCUCCCAUCCAUCCUGUGUGACCUGUGCAGGCCAAAAGUGCACAGAGAGCUCAGCACCCAGUGGCAUACAGCCACGGGGGUCUGCAGGAGGUGUCUCCCACCCCCCAGGCCUGUCUUGGAGGGGUUUUUACACUCAUUCCUCAGCUGGUUUGGCUGGAGGGGCUCUGUGUGUGUGGCUGUCUCUGGGAAGUGUUUGGCUGUAGCCUGGUGUUGCACCUGUGUGCUCUGAGAUCUCCAGUGCCUGCCCUGCUGCCAUGGCUGGAGGGGGCACCCAGGGUCAGACCUGCCUUGCCUUUGCCCCCAACACCUCCCUGUGUGCAGGCUGAAAGGGCCUGUUCAGUAUUCCAGGGCUGAGUGACCCGUCCUGAGCCUCUCCUGCUGCUGUGUCCAGGCUCUCACAGCCCAUGGAGGGAGGGAGCUGCUGCUGGGGCAUUGCUGUCCUGAGGCAGGGGGUUUGAAGGGAGGAGAGCCCUGAUUUAGGAAUAGCAUUCUCCCAUUUCGUGCUCCUACCAAAACCCCCAUCCCCAGCAGGGUGGAGAGAGGAAUUGGAGGCACAAAAGAUGAAGAUCACAGGUUGAGAUAAGAGCAAUUUACUGGAAACAGCAGUGAGAUAAAAAAACAAACAGGAAGACAGCAGCAAUGUUAAUAAUAGAAGUAUAGAAAAGAGAGAACGAUUCACAUGCAGAGUGCUCACCCUGACCUGACCACAGCCAUAUUCUACUGACCAGAGUAGACCUCUCCUCUGAGGAGAAGGAAUGGAUGCUCCCCUGUGUGUCUCCAUGGCAUCAGUACAUUGUGACCAAGCCUUACACUGCUGUGGAUCUGCUGGGCCAGCCUUGGAUGCACAGCCCAGUGCUGCUGUCCCCCCCUGGCUGCAGGCAGGGCCCUCUGGGUGCUCACUGCUCACUGCUGCAGCUGUGGAGGUGCCUUCAGGGGGAUCAGAAGUGACAUUAGCCCUGUUGUUCUGUCUGAGCACAUGCCCACUGGAAGCUGGGCUGGCAUUUAUCCCUGAAGAAUCCCUGCAGUUGUUGUUUUUCCUCUUAGCUCACGCAGCCAUGCUUCUGGGGCACAAGUGGGUUUUCCUUCCCAAUUCCUUCUGUCCUCUCUCUGUGCUCAUGCAGGUAAAACCAUAGGAUGCCUUGUGGUGUGCCAGUUGCUCCCAGCAGCAGAGGCUCUGGUCUGUACUGGUGUGACAGGGCACAUUUCCUCAGUCCACAGCCCUAGACUGGAGAAUAAGUCCAGUCCUAAACUGGAACUGAGCUGCUGCAGUUUGGACAGUCUUUUAACACAGCUGAGACACAGGUUGAAGAAAAAACAAUGAUCUUCAUCAUCAGAGCUGGGGAGUCACCUUUAACACUGUUUGUUCUGUUCAGAUCUCUGAAGAACCUCCCCAGAAAUCUCUUUCUUGACUCCAAAGAUUAUGUGCACUGCACUAAGGACACCUGGCAAAAUUAUUUCCUUAACAUCCCAAGGGAAUUCAGAGCUUCAGAAGCUGUUUUAACAGAACUCAAGGGAGAAAAGUGGGUGAAAGUCUGGGGAAAAUCAUCCUCCCAUGUUCCCCCAUGGGGUGGUCAUGGCUGUUAUUAAUGGAGUCCCAAAGGAAGUGCCCCAGGUAGGGGUAGAAGAGCAACACUCAAAACAGCCCUAAUGACCCUUGAUGUUAUCAUGUCAUAAACAGAGCAAUCCUGAUCCCCCUCCCUGCUCUGAGCCAGAGGCUGUGAUGGGAGCAGACAGAAAUACAUGCAGGGUUGGGUACCCACAUGGGCAGAGCAGGCAAUGCUGUCACCAGUGGCUCAGUACCCAAUACAGAAAAUGUUGAGAUCUAAUUUGCUUCCAAGCCACUCUGGGCAGAUCUGUUGUUAUCUCAACUGUUCAAGCCCUACCUUGGAUGCCAAAAAAACACAACAAAAAACUGUUGUGGUUUAGGACUCCUAUCCCCCAAUUUGGUGUUCCCACUACAACUGUGUGCUGCCACAGCCCUCACCUCAUUCCCUCCCUGUGGUGGGAUGGAGAGGAGAGCUGGAGGCACAAAAGGCAAAAAAAUCACAGGCAGAGAUAGGAACAAUUGACUGGAAACAGCAAUGAGAUAAGAAAAAUGAACAGCAACAAUAUUAAUAACAAAAGUGCAACAAUAUUGAUAACAAAAGUGUACAAAAGGGAGCAAAUCACGUGCAAAUGCUCUCUGCAGUGUUACCCUGAUUGGAAGAGAUCCCUUCCCCCUGCCCAGCAAUGAUGUGAGGUGGCCUAAAAGAACCUCGGGGCUCUGGCCAUGUCCCCUCCUGGCUACUGCAAAAUUAACUCUGUCCUGGCUGGAACCAGGCCAGGGCUGACUGUGAUCCCAUAGCUCUGUGUGUGUGUGUAUGUGUGUGUGUGUGUGUAGCUCUUAGUUCCUGUGUGGGUUGAUGUUUUUCAUGCAGAAGAGCAUUUCAUUUCUUGCUGUUUAUCUGGUUUAGCUACCUCACGGUGCAAGCUGGGUGCUGUUCUCAUUGGGUUUCCUAUUGGGGAUGGGGUGGGGAGUUCGUGGUGUAAGAAUUUUUAUUAUUUUUUUUUCUCUUAAUUAUUGUUAUUGUUAUGGUUUUGACACUUGAAUUCAUCCCGGGGACACGUGGCCUCGCUCCCACCUUGCUGCAUGUCUGAGCCACCCCCUGUGUUCCCUCCCUGCUCCUCCUGGGCAGGGAGCAGGGCUGGGGUCCCUGCCCCAGAGGGAUCCCCCAGAGCAGCUGCAACACUGAGAUUUUGCUCCCAUUCCUUGUGGGAUUCUGAGGAUCUGUGGUGUUCCAUUGGUGAUUGGCUUGGUUGGCAGCCUGGGGGUGGCUCCAUCUGGUCCCUUGGAAAGGGGGCUCAGAAAGGCUCAGCCCAGCCCAAAUGUCUCCCUCUGCUCUCACAGACACUCUGUGGAUGUGACGGAGCUCUGGGCUGGGGGAUGUCUGUGCAAAGCACAAUGCUGGGGUGAGCUGCUUCCAGCCACCUCUGCCCAGAGCCUGCUGCUCAGCAAGGCUCAGCUCAGCCCAAAUUUCUCCCCCUGCUCUCCCAGAUACUCUGAGAUGUGAUGGAGCUCUGGGCUGGGGGAUGUCUGUGCAGAGCACAUGGCUGGGGUGGGCUGGUUCCAGCCACCAGUGCCCAGAGCCUGCUGCAUGUGCUGUGAAAGCCUCUGCCCAAGCUGGGCAUGGUCUGUGAGAACCCGAUUCUGCUGUGUGAUGGAUUUUUCACUCCCAAAAACUCUAGUUGUGUCUAGAUUGAGUGCCAGGCACUGACCAUAAGCCAGGGGAGCCCUGGAGCCCCAGCUCAGGCUGGCAGCUGCCCUGGCACAGGGGUCAGGGGGCUCUGAGCCAGUUUGGGGUGCAGGUCCUCCCAAACACUAAAGCACAAGGUCCCACAUGCAGUGGGUCUAGCAGGGGUGGCCCUUUGGUCCCUGGCCCUCCAGAGCUCCAAUGGGACCAUGGGCUGAGGCUGGAGGAGGAGGAGGACUGGGCUGAAGGCUCUUUGCCUGUGGGUGAGCUGUUCCAUCCCUGUGCCCUGUGCUGGCUGCACACCUGAAGUCCCCUCUGGUGGUCUCAGAGCCCCUCCAGGGCAGGGACACUUUGGAGCUGCCUUUGUACCACACACCUCAUUUUCCUCUGCCCUUGGGCACCUCGAUUUGUGACAAGGGUGUGCUCAUACCUGCACUCCUGCCUCAGGCUGCUGGGUUAUGCUUCUUUCCCCAGGGCCCAACUCUGGCUCUGGGGGUCUCCUCAUCCCCAGCACACAGCUCCAGCCUCUGUGUAGGGAGCAGGGCUGGACCAGAGUCAGGAGCCUGAAAGCACUGGAUCCCCAAACGACUGUGAGUCCUCCUGAGCAGUGUCCCCUCCCUGUCACCUGCAGCUCUGCUGACACAGGCUGGGCUGGGAGCUCUGGGGUCCCCUCCUCACCACCUCUGAGCAGCUGCUUUGGGGUCUGAAUUGCUGCCUCCUGCCUUGGUGCUGCAAACCCAGUGCCUGCUUCCCCUGGUGCUCUCCUGGUGCUCCUCACCCUCACCAGUCCUCCCAGUGCCCCUCACUGGAGAGUCCAGGUACCAUCCCUGCCAAGCACAGGGCUCCAGUUUGCUUUCCACAUUCUCCCUGGAGCUUCACUGUCUCCUGCAGGCUGCUCAUCCUCCUGAGCCCCCCUCACCCUUCUGGGAAGGGACGAGGACCCCCCAGCCCCUCCAGGUGCUGCACGGUGCUCCAGCUGUAACUGGGACAGAGCCAGCUCCCAGAAAAGCACAGCCCUGCACCUUCCUCCUCCUCCUCCUCCUCCCCGGGGCUCAUCCCCUCCUCACCACAGCCCUGCACCUUCCUCCUCCUCCUCCUCCUCCCCGGGGCUCAUCCUGUCACCCACCACAGCCCUGCACCUUCCUCCUCCUCCCCAGGGCUCAUCCCCCCCUCACCACAGCCCUGCACCUUCCUCCUCCUCCUCUUCACCAGGGCUCAUCCCCUCACCCUCCACAGCCCUGCACCUUCCUCCUCCUCCUCCUCCUCCUCCCCAGGCUCAUCCUGUCACCCACCACAGCCCUGCACCUUCCUCCUCCUCCUCCU